GAUGAACGCUGGCGGCGUGCUUAACACAUGCAAGUCGAACGAAGCACUUUGGACAGAUUCUUCGGAUUGAAGCAACUGUGACUGAGCGGCGGACGGGUGAGUAACGCGUGGGUAACCUGCCUCAUACAGGGGGAUAACAGUUGGAAACGGCUGCUAAUACCGCAUAAGCGCACAGUACCGCAUGGUACCGUGUGAAAAACUCCGGUGGUAUGAGAUGGACCCGCGUCUGAUUAGCUAGUUGGUGGGGUAACGGCCUACCAAGGCGACGAUCAGUAGCCGACCUGAGAGGGUGACCGGCCACAUUGGGACUGAGACACGGGCCCAAACUCCUACGGGAGGCAGCAGUGGGGAAUAUUGCACAAUGGGGGAAACCCUGAUGCAGCGACGCCGCGUGAGCGAUGAAGUAUUUCGGG
rnacentral:rRNA from 1 species